GGAGCUUAGCUCAGUGGUCAAGUCCUUGCCUAGCCUGCAGGAGGCCCUGGGUUUGAUUCCCAGCCCCA
rnacentral:tRNA from 1 species